rnacentral:rRNA from 1 species
UACGGAGGGUGCGAGCGUUGUCCGGAAUCACUGGGCGUAAAGGGCGCGUAGGCGGCUUCUCAAGCGUGUGGUGAAAGUCCGGGGCUCAACCCCGGAUCGGCCGUGCGGACUGGGGAGCUCGAGUUCUGUAGAGGCGGGUGGAAUUCCGGGUGUAGCGGUGGAAUGCGUAGAGAUCCGGAAGAACACCGGUGGCGAAGGCGGCCCGCUGGGCAGAGACUGACGCUGAGGUGCGAAAGCAUGGGGAGCAAACAGG